rnacentral:lncRNA from 1 species
UAAGUUGGACAAAACUAAAAAAUUUAAAUUUUUAAAAUGAUGGAUUGGAUAUGAAUUGAGUUAAAUUAGCAUCCAAUCCACAUACAUAUGGAUUGGAUUUAGAUUGAGUUUCACCAAUCUGUGGAUUGGAUUGAAUUGAAUUGAAAAUUUAUAGUUCGUAAAAUUGUGGAUCGGAUAUGGAUUUAUGUCUAAUCCGUAAAAUCCGAUCCACAAACACCCCUACUACCUAUGCUAUUUUACCAUAAUAUUUUAGUUAUUAACUAU